AACGAACGCUGGCGGCAUGCCUAACACAUGCAAGUCGAACGCUUCUCUUCGGAGAGGAGUGGCGCACGGGUGAGUAACGCGUGGAAACCUGCCCCGGAGUGGGGGAUAACCCGGCGAAAGCCGGGCUAAUACCGCAUACGGCCUACGGGCGAAAGAUUCAUCGCUCUGGGAGGGGUCCGCGUCCGAUUAGCUAGUUGGCGGGGUAAUGGCCCACCAAGGCGACGAUCGGUAGCUGGUCUGAGAGGAUGAUCAGCCACACUGGGACUGAGACACGGCCCAGACUCCUACGGGAGGCAGCAGUGGGGAAUAUUGGACAAUGGGGGCAACCCUGAUCCAGCAAUGCCGCGUGAGUGAUGAAGGCCCUAGGGUUGUAAAGCUCUUUCGGCGGGGACGAUGAUGACGGUACCCGCAGAAGAAGCCCCGGCUAACUUCGUGCCAGCCGCCGCCGUAAG
rnacentral:rRNA from 1 species